rnacentral:misc_RNA from 1 species
GAUGAAGAACGUAGCGAAAUGCGAUAAGUAAUGUGAAUUGCAGAAUUCCGUGAAUCAUCGAAUCUUUGAACGCACAUUGCGCCCCCUGGCAUUCCGGGGGGCAUGCCUGUCCGAGCGUCAUUUCUGCCCUCCAGCCCGGCUGGGUGUUGGGCGCUGUCCCCCCGGGGACACGCCCCAAAGGCAGUGGCGGCGCCGCGUCGGGUCCUCGAGCAUAUGGGGCUUUGUCACCCGCUCGGGACGGACUCGUCGGCGCUGGUCUUCCUCCAGGCGACCCUUCGGGGCUCGUCUUCCUUCGGUUGACCUCGGAUCAGGUAGGGUUACCCGCUGAACUUAAGCAUAUCAAUAAGCGGAGGA